CAAAAAGGUCAAAUUGCCGCUUUAAUAAUUUUUCGAACAGUACAUCAACCAAUGGCAUGUGAUAUUUAAUAGCAUACUGAAGGGCUGAGGUUUUCGACAGGGUGCAAGACUAUGUUUUGUUGGGCGACUGCAGAUGGCUUUCCACUGACUGGUGAUCUAGUAGUAAGUCAUAUGAUGACAAUUAGAAGGAUUUGAUACCAUAUGUUUGCUUCUAAAGUGACUGUAAAAUUUAAUAGCUAUUAUAUUUCCUUGGAAUUUUUUCUUGUAACUUUUAGUUGCCAAAGAUUUAUUAAAUUAUUAUGGA